rnacentral:misc_RNA from 1 species
GGGUUGGAGAAGCUGGUUUCUGAGAUUGAUCUUGUCAAGUCUUUUUCAUGGUAAGUCUUUAAUUAACAGCUCUUACGCUUCUAUAUAUAUAUAUCACCAAGAAAUCAAGUUUUCUUUGUUUAAUGGAAUCCAAGAGUUCCCAUAUCAUUAUAAUUAAGCUGGAAACUGAGUAAUGAAUUAACCCUGCAAUACCCAGUAUGUUUUUCAUUAACAAUAUAUACCAAUAUAUAAUCUAGUUAAUAUAUUGUUUGUAUUUUUAACAGGGGACAAGAUUUGGAAAGCCCA